rnacentral:rRNA from 1 species
AUACAGCGAAACUGCGAAUGGCUCAUUAAAUCAGUUAUCGUUUAUUUGAUAGUACCUUACUACUUGGAUAACCGUGGUAAUUCUAGAGCUAAUACAUGCUAAAAACCCCAACUCACGAAGGGGUGUAUUUAUUAGAUUAAAAACCAAUGCCCUUCGGGGCUCUUUGGUGAUUCAUAAUAACUUCUCGAAUCGCAUGGCCUUGCGCCGGCGAUGGUUCAUUCAAAUUUCUGCCCUAUCAACUUUCGAUGGCAGGGUCUUGGCCUGCCAUGGUUACAACGGGUAACGGAGGGUUAGGGCUCGACCCCGGAGAAGGAGCCUGAGAAACGGCUACUACAUCCAAGGAAGGCAGCAGGCGCGCAAAUUACCCAAUCCCGACUCGGGGAGGUAGUGACAAUAAAUACUGAUACAGGGCUCUUUAGGGUCUUGUAAUUGGAAUGAGUACAAUUUAAAUCCCUUAACGAGGAACAAUUGGAGGGCAAGUCUGGUGCCAGCAGCCGCGGUAAUUCCAGCUCCAAUAGCGUAUAUUAAAGUUGUUGCAGUUAAAAAGCUCGUAGUUGAACCUUGGGCCUGGCUGGCCGGUCCGCCUCACCGCGUGCACUGGUUCGGCCGGGCCUUUCCCUCUGGGGAACCUCAUGCUCUUCACUGAGUGUGCUGGGGAACCAGGACUUUUACUGUGAAAAAAUUAGAGUGUUCAAAGCAGGCCUAUGCUCGAAUACAUUAGCAUGGAAUAAUAGAAUAGGACGUGUGGUUCUAUUUUGUUGGUUUCUAGGACCGCCGUAAUGAUUAAUAGGGACAGUCGGGGGCAUCAGUAUUCAAUUGUCAGAGGUGAAAUUCUUGGAUUUAUUGAAGACUAACUACUGCGAAAGCAUUUGCCAAGGAUGUUUUCAUUAAUCAGGAACGAAAGUUAGGGGAUCGAAGACGAUCAGAUACCGUCGUAGUCUUAACCA